AUUGAACGCUGGCGGCAGGCUUAACACAUGCAAGUCGAGCGGGGUGAUGGUGCUUGCACUAUCACUUAGCGGCGGACGGGUGAGUAAUGCUUAGGAAUCUGCCUAUUAGUGGGGGACAACAUCUCGAAAGGGAUGCUAAUACCGCAUACGUCCUACGGGAGAAAGCAGGGGAUCACUUGUGACCUUGCGCUAAUAGAUGAGCCUAAGCCGGAUUAGCUAGUUGGUGGGGUAAAGGCCUACCAAGGCGACGACCUGUAGCGGGUUCUGAGAGGAUGAUCCGCCACACUGGGACUGAGACACGGCCCAGACUCCUACGGGAGGCAGCAGUGGGGAAUAUUGGACAAUGGGGGGAACCCUGAUCCAGCCAUGCCGCGUGUGUGAAGAAGGCCUUAUGGUUGUAAAGCACUUUAAGCGAGGAGGAGGCUCUUUUGGUUAAUACCCAGAAUGAGUGGACGUUACUCGCAGAAUAAGCACCGGCUAACUCUGUGCCAGCAGCCGCGGUAA
rnacentral:rRNA from 1 species